rnacentral:rRNA from 1 species
GACGAACGCUGGCGGCGUGCUUAACACAUGCAAGUCGAACGGAAAGGCCCUGCUUUUGUGGGGUGCUCGAGUGGCGAACGGGUGAGUAACACGUGAGUAACCUGCCCUUGACUUUGGGAUAACUUCAGGAAACUGGGGCUAAUACCGGAUAGGAGCUCCUGCUGCAUGGUGGGGGUUGGAAAGUUUCGGCGGUUGGGGAUGGACUCGCGGCUUAUCAGCUUGUUGGUGGGGUAGUGGCUUACCAAGGCUUUGACGGGUAGCCGGCCUGAGAGGGUGACCGGCCACAUUGGGACUGAGAUACGGCCCAGACUCCUACGGGAGGCAGCAGUGGGGAAUAUUGCACAAUGGGCGGAAGCCUGAUGCAGCAACGCCGCGUGCGGGAUGACGGCCUUCGGGUUGUAAACCGCUUUCGCCUGUGACGAAGCGUGAGUGACGGUAAUGGGUAAAGAAGCACCGGCUAACUACGUGCCAGCAGCCGCGGUGAUACGUAGGGUGCGAGCGUUGUCCGGAUUUAUUGGGCGUAAAGGGCUCGUAGGUGGUUGAUCGCGUCGGAAGUGUAAUCUUGGGGCUUAACCCUGAGCGUGCUUUCGAUACGGGUUGACUUGAGGAAGGUAGGGGAGAAUGGAAUUCCUGGUGGAGCGGUGGAAUGCGCAGAUAUCAGGAGGAACACCAGUGGCAAAGGCGGUUCUCUGGGCCUUUCCUGACGCUGAGGAGCGAAAGCGUGGGGAGCGAACAGGCUUAGAUACCCUGGUAGUCCACGCUGUAAACGGUGGGUACUAGGUGUGGGGUCCAUUCCACGGGUUCCGUGCCGUAGCUAAUGCUUUAAGUACCCCGCCUGGGGAGUACGGCCGCAAGGCUAAAACUCAAAGGAAUUGACGGGGCCCCGCACAAGCGGCGGAGCAUGCGGAUUAAUUCGAUGCAACGCGUAGAACCUUACCUGGGUUUGACAUGGAUCGGGAGUGCUCAGAGAUGGGUGUGCCUCUUUUGGGGUCGGUUCACAGGUGGUGCAUGGCUGUCGUCAGCUCGUGUCGUGAGAUGUUGGGUUAAGUCCCGCAACGAGCGCAACCCUUGUUCACUGUUGCCAGCACGUUAUGGUGGGGACUCAGUGGAGACCGCCGGGGUCAACUCGGAGGAAGGUGGGGAUGACGUCAAGUCAUCAUGCCCCUUAUGUCCAGGGCUUCACGCAUGCUACAAUGGCUGGUACAGAGAGUGGCGAGCCUGUGAGGGUGAGCGAAUCUCGGAAAGCCGGUCUCAGUUCGGAUUGGGGUCUGCAACUCGACCUCAUGAAGUCGGAGUCGCUAGUAAUCGCAGAUCAGCAACGCUGCGGUGAAUACGUUCCCGGG